rnacentral:rRNA from 1 species
CCCCUAGAUGUUCUGGGCCGCACGCGUGCUACACUGAACAGUUCAACAAGUCUUAACCUUGGCCGAUAGGUCUGGGUAAUCUUUGAACGCUGUUCGUGAUUGGGAUAGACCUUUGCAAUUAUGGGUCUUCAACGAGGAAUUCCUAGUAAACGCAAGUCAUCAGCUUGCAUUGAUUACGUCCCUGCCCUUUGUACACACCGCCCGUCGCACCUACCGAUUGAAUGGUCCGGUGAAAUCUCGGGACGGCGGCUUGGUCGCUUGCGUCCGACUGCUGAAACUUGAUUAAACCAUAUCAUUUAGAGGAAGGUGAAGUCGUAACA